CUGAAUGGCUUCGGCCUUCAACCUUGUAAACCUGUGGAAGCAAUCCGUGCUUCGGCGCUCCGGCGCCGCAUUUAUGCAGCAAAGCAUUUGUCUGAAUCAAAAGCAAGAAUUA
rnacentral:misc_RNA from 1 species